UNAAGUAUUAAGGUCCUGCCUGCCCAGUGAAACUUUUCAACGGCCGCGGUAUCCUAACCGUGCAAAGGUAGCGCAAUCACUUGUCCCCCAAUUAGGGACUAGUAUGAAUGGCACCAUGAGGGCACAACUGUCUCCUCAGGCCACGCAAUGAAAUUGAGAAUUCAGUACAAACGCUGAAAUACACACAUAAGACGAAAAGACCCUGUGGAACUUCAACUAUUAUAUUAGCCGCUGCCACGCACACCAUGCACCCCUAAUAAAAUUUUCAGUUGGGGCAACUGCGGAGUAAAACAAAACCUCCAUGACCCACGACUACCCCUCGAAUCCCAGGCUACCUCGCCGUCCUAACAAUACCUGACCCGGCACCGCCGACCAACGAACCAAGCUACCCCAGGGAUAACAGCGCUAUCCCCUUCAAGAGUCCCUAUCGUAAGGGGGGUUUACGACCUCGAUGUUGGAUCAGGACACCCAGGUGGUGCAGCCGCUGCCAAAGGUUCGUUGUCAACGANANC
rnacentral:rRNA from 1 species